CUUUUGUAAUUUUAACUAUUUUCAAACAGGUUUGUGGACCUUCAGUCGUGACCAUUGUAAAAUCCUUGGACAUGCUGGUAGAUGUCAGAAGGGUAGUCGGCUACCACAACAGACAGAGAAUGUCAUUGGUGGUAAAGUGGAUACAGGAAUGAGUGUUGAGAUCCAAGAAAACAGUGAAAUUCUUUUGCUAUUUGCUACCACCCAAACUAGAUUUAACUGAAGAAUUGAAUUUUGUGAGGUUCUGUGGACAAGAUAAACGGAACUUAGGCUACUCUGGCCUCAUCACUCAUCUCUUUACACGUGAAAAAGCCCAGUGAAGAAUGGACAGUAAAGUCACGAGAUCGCCAAGCUACUGCAACACCACAUUCAACACCGAAGAAAACAAACGGCAAUCGGAUGUUGAAAAAGAAUGAUUGCUCAUACAUGAGUUGCCGACAGAAAGAAUCAUCGUCGAGUGAAGAAAAAGGGCAGAACGCAAUAUUGGAAGUUCCAGACGAAACCGUUUUCCCCAAACUUGUGGAAGAUACCAAAAGCGGAGCUGAUUGUCUUCCUGGACGAACUUGAUGACAGCCAAUUAAAGGCCUCGUCCCAUCGAAAACGAGCAGCUGAACCGACGAGCGAGUUGUCAGAAGAAAAAAUACCGCGUGUCGAGCAAGGCAUAGACUAAUCCAAAUUGCAUCUGCCACUCCUGAUGCCACUGUCCCAUCCACCAGCGAGGAAAAAAGAAGGAAAGUCGUUGACAAAUCCUUGACGCCACCUAGGUCAACCACGGCACCACGCAAGGUAGCUGACAAUUUUCCGUCCAGAGCCCCCAUUGUCAGUGUGACCCCAGUUGUCCGUGGAUGCUUAGAGCUGUCACUAGGUGGCUAAAUAUUUCAGUGUGUUUAGGGAUUGAACUAUUAAGUAUUAAACGAGACGCUGUUGGAGAAUGUACAGAUUGAAUGUACAGUUCGUAUACGUUAGCCGUUGCGGGGUACGGUACCUUCUUUCCUCACAUUUUUCUAUUAAAAAAGGUAACAUAGCCUUCAAUUUAUGCCUGACAAUUCCAUCUGAUCACGUGGCCUCGCUGAAACUGCUAGUACAUUUCCCCAAUAUGUUGUCUUUUACUGCACGUACCGCCUGUUCGUCUCGUCACAUGCAGCAAGCCAGCAACACUUCAGAACAGUAAAAGUAAUUAUGUUGUUCAACUUUUUAACCCUUAGGAAUACAGCCUUUUAAGGUCUGAGCCUCUCAGUCCCACAUGUACACGAAGUUGUUGCUGUUGCAGACAGCUGGCAGGUGGUUUUCUUUACUUGCAGGUUUGUUUGCUACCUGUACAGCUUGUAGCUUUCGUCACAUGCAGCAACACUUCAGAACAGUUUAAAGUAAUGAAGUUUAUCUGGUUAUACGCAUUACAGCCUCUUAAGGUCUGAGCCUCAGUCCAAUGUACACAUGGAUUUGUUGCAGCCAGCUGGUGAAAGGUUUUCUUCUUGCUGGUUUGCUUGCUACCUGUACAGUUUAUUGCUCUCAUCACAUGCAAAAACACUUCAGAACAAUUAUAAGAUUACAUCAGCCUCUUGAUCUUUCUGAAGGUCUGAGCCUCUUGAUGGCAGUCCAAUGUGCAGACGGACUUGGUACAGCUAGCUGGUGAACGGUGUGGCGAGCUGUUCAUGCAGACCCUGGUGCUGAUUAGCUGAUAUCGUGUGUAAAAUUCUGUCUACCAGGUGGCGGAGUGUCUGUUCGUGAGUGAGUGACGAAAUUCCGCCAUUUGCUUUUAAGACAAUGGAAGGGAAUGUGUUGCUGACGGUGUUUUUCGCCUCAUUUCAAACGAUUGAGGUAUAGGCCUACCGACGCCGUUCGACCAAGUUGUUUUGAAAGUGAACAACUCCAAAGCAAUUUUUCGAAGAUCUUGUCUUUCUCCACGUGGUGUCGGUGUGUCAUGAAGAUGCGUCUUCGAGAGGGUCUCUCUACUAUAUUGCAAGACAACAUUGUGAUCAACACAGGAAAUAUGAAAUGAUAAAGAUACUUGUAAGAUAAAGCAAGGGGGUUAGCAUUAUGUUCUUGAUCCUAGACAAGUGACCUAGAUGUUUCGUGCCUAAUCAGACGGUUUUUGUGGAAAGUUCUUUUUAAUCAGUUGUAAAUUUUCUUAGGAAAGAGCAGGAAUUCCCGCCAUUAUUAAAACUUGAAAUGAAGUAUUCAUGAUGUAAUUGUUGGCUAUCUUCUUGAUUGGGUUUUCUUUAGUUUAUUCUAAAUAUGAAGUAAAUCACUUACAUAACUUCUAGUUUUUAUUUUCUAUUAACAGCCUGGUGUAGUCCGAGCUUCUUCAUUGCAGUUCAAUGUGCAUAUGGAUUUGUUGCAGCCAGCUGGUGAAAGGUGUUCCUCAUGCAGGCUUGCCUGCUACCUGUUCCAUUUGUAGCUUUCAUCACAUGCAGAAACACUUCAGAACAGAACAUUUAAGGUCUUCCCAAUUUAAAGAUUACAGCCUCUUCAAGGUCUGAGCCUCUUCGUGGCAGUCCAAUGUGUACACGGAUUUGGUGCAGCCAGCUGGUUAACGGUGUGUAAAAUUAUGUCUACCAAGUGGCGGAGUGUCUGUUCGUGAGUGUGACAGUGUAGUGACGAAAUUCCGUCAUUUGAUUUUAAGACAGUGGACGGGAAUGUGUUGCAGACGGUGUUUUUCGCCUUUACAUUUUAAAACGAUUGAGGUAUUCUGACGCCAUUCGACGAAUCGAAAGUGAACAAAUCGAAAGUGAACAACUCUAAAGCAAAUGUGUCGAAGAUCUUGCCUUUCUCCACGUGGUCGCUGCUGUGUCAUUCAUGAAGAUGCGUCUUCGAGAGGGUCCCUACUAUAUUGCAAGACAACAUUGUGAUGAACACAGGAACUGUAAAUACUUCAAGAUAAAUCAAGUGGGAAAAAGCAGACAUUCCUGUCAUUAUUAAAAACUGAAGUCUUCAUCAUGUGAUUGUUGGCCAUCUUCUUAAUUGGGUUUUAUCUAGUUUAUUCUAAAUUUCAAGAUUUCAUGGCCAGUUUGAUUUUGGAGCUGUUUAUGGUGUUGCUGUGUGGUGUGCAGUGGAUUCCCAGUCAGUUUCCAGCUGACAGAUGCACUUGAAUGGAGCUUGUGCAGACUCGCAGUUCAACAUUAAACCUCAAUUUCUUAUUUUCCUAUUCUUGUUGUGUUCCUGCGGUGUUGAAAAGUUGGUGAAAAUAGUCCAUGUUGCCUGAUAGCUGUCUUGAAUAUUUUAUCGGCUGCAAUUUUGUCGACAUGUUAUCGUCUGCUACCUGUACCGGCGUUGAGACAAUCGCUCGCCGCUGUUCCAUAGCUGAAACUGAGCAGAUGCUGAAAUUCAAGACUGAUAAAUAAUGUAGAUGAUUAUAAGUGCAUAUCUGUGCUCCUUCCUUUCCCCGUUUUCUUAAGUAAACAGACCCCCCCCCCUCCCCUCUAGCUGGUUAAUCACCCGCUGUGAUAAUGCCAUAAGAUGCAUGAUCUGUGGAAAACUUGGGAGGGUUAUGAGGGAAAUUACUCUAUGAUUAAUUGCUCCCUUAACAUUCGUUUCACUCUACUUUGAUUCUGCAAGUUUUGUCCUAAAAUUAAUUGCUCCCUUAACAAUUGUUUCACAACUCUUCGCUUUUCCAUUUCAGCAAACGAGUUCUCCUACAAAACCUGUUUCCUU